AAAAAAAAAAAAAGGGGAAUUACUCUGGUUAAUGUCAUCUAGGCAUGUAGCAUAAUCUCUAAUUAGGUACAACAGCUCUUAGGUGAUGAAUUUAGUUUAUUUGGAAUGUGUGACUACGGUAUAAUUAAAAUAAAUGUGAAAUUUUAGUUAUUUGUAUGUGAAAAUUUAGUUAUUUGUUUGUAAAAAUUUAAAGAGUGUGACGCAAUCACAUAAAUAUUAAAUAAUGAAGCCUAAUGUGGUUCGCGGACUUUUAAUUUUCUGUACCAUGUAAGGCUAAGAA
rnacentral:misc_RNA from 1 species